rnacentral:rRNA from 1 species
CCUACGGGAGGCAGCAGUGGGGAAUAUUGCGCAAUGGGCGAAAGCCUGACGCAGCGACGCCGCGUGAGGGAUGAAGGUCCUCGGAUCGUAAACCUCUGUUAGCAGGGAAGAACGGUCACUGUGCUAAUCAGCAGUGAAUUGACGGUACCUGCAAAGGAAGCACCGGCUAACUCCGUGCCAGCAGCCGCGGUAAUACGGAGGGUGCGAGCGUUAAUCGGAAUUACUGGGCGUAAAGCGCUCGUAGGCGGUAUGUCAAGUCAAGUGUGAAAUCCCCGGGCUCAACGUGGGAACUGCCUUUGAAACUGGCGAGCUGGAGUGUGUGAGAGGAUAGUGGAAUUCCAGGUGUAGGAGUGAAAUCCGUAGAUAUCUGGAGGAACAUCAGUGGCGAAGGCGACUAUCUGGCACAUAACUGACGCUGAGGAGCGAAAGCGUGGGGAGCAAACAGGAUUAGAUACCCCAGUAGUC